AACUGAUACUACCUGCGGGAACCUGCGGAAGGAUCAUUACCGAGUUUACAAAACUCCCAAACCCUUUGUGAACCUUACCUAUCGUUGCUUCGGCGGGACCGCCCCGGCGCCCUCGCGGCCCGGAACCAGGCGCCCGCCGGAGGCCCCAAACCCUCAUGUCUUUAGUGGUUUCCUCCUCUGAGUGACAUAAACAAAUAAAGUAAAAACUUUCAACAAUGGAUCUCUAGAUCGGAAGAGCAC
rnacentral:misc_RNA from 1 species